rnacentral:rRNA from 1 species
CAAUAGCGUAUAUUAAAGUUGUUGCGGUAAAAAAGCUCGUAGUUGGAUUUCUACCGAAGAUAGCCGGUCGGGUCUUCGACCUUGUAUCUGGUUUUGUCUUUGGUAUCCUCAUAGGGAACGUUUCUGCGCUUUAUUGCGUGGUGCGUUAUCUAUGACUUUUACUUUGAGGAAAUUAGAGUGUUCACGGCAGGCAAACGCCUUGAAUAUAUUAGCAUGGAAUAAUAACAUAGGAUCUUCGUCCUAUUUUGUUGGUUUCUAGGGCUAAGAUAAUGAUUAAUAGGGAUAAUUGGGGGCAUCUGUAUCAACGCGUCAGAGGUGGAAUUCUUGGAUUGCGUUGCGACAAACUACUGCGAAAGCAUUUGCCAAGGAUGUUUUCAUUGA